CUUAAUCUCUUCUCUAGUGUGUUGGCCAACAUUCUCUGUCUCUGUCCUUGCCUUUCCUUGUGCUGUCUCUGUUCAUAGGACACGGGCAGGAGUGCUAGGUGUGCAUCCCCACAGGCUAGGUCUCAGGCGCUAUGAAGAAGUAAGGGGGGAUGAAAAUCAUGCAGGGUAGUGGGCGCUAGAGUGGAGCAGUGACCGUCAGUGUUGACUCAGUCUCUGUUCAUCGAGUCGGGCUGAUGUAGCUGAGAUGGGAGAGGGAGGCAGGGAUGAGGGCAUUCAUAGAACUCUGUGUAGUGACAGUUCUUGCUUGGCUUUAUUAGUUUGCAGAGGAAUUGUCCAGAAGCCCCAGCCGGAUGAGAAUGUCAGAAGUGGACCUGAGCAGCCUGGACAUCCUUCUAAGGAAACAAGAAUAGUCCUCAGGUUUCUGCCUUCUGCAUAACUGGCUGAGUGGUGUGUCCUCUGCAGUAGAAGGUUGGAUCCAGGAGGAUGACUCUAGGUGUUUGCAGAGUAAUCAUCCAGGAGGUGUCUCCAGAGGAGAAGCUGGCAGAGGUCGACCUGAACUGCCUGGACAUCCUUCUAAGGAGACAUGAAGGGUCCUCAGUUUUCUUCCUCUCAUGUAAGCUGUCACUGCUUGGAAUUCCUCAUCUGUACUUGCUGUAGUUCUCUUGACAGGCUGUGUGCUUCCUCCUUGGGUACGGGGCUCUGUGGCUGGGGAGGGCCCAGAAUCUGCUCUGCAGAGUGACUCUGUUGGGUGCCAUUAAGAGGGCCAAUGCAGAGAGGAGAAAAGGGGCCUGAACCCUGAUUACAGGGCAGUCACCCUUUCUUUAGUAAAAUACUCUUCCUUUAAACUCGGUGUGGGUGGGCGGGGGGAAGUCCCCAAUGUGAAAAGAUCUGGAAAUGAACAGGUAAGGGAGGGAUCCUGCUGAGUGUCUCCUUUCCGAUCAAUCCUCCAUCUCUCAGCGACACCCUUCCGAACUUACCUUCCUACCUCACCAAGAAAAUAACUUGGUGCUCCCUAACCUUUACCAGAAAAGACCCCCCUUCCUUGUGAUGCAGUCCUGUUAGUAGGGUUAGGUGCACCCACGUGCUGGCUCUGAAUACCACCGCAUGUGCUUACAACACCUGAACA